GAUGAAUGCUGGCGGCGUGCCUAAUACAUGCAAGUCGAGCGGUAAGGCCCUCCGGGGUACACGAGCGGCGGACGGCUGAGUAACGCGUGGGAACAUGCCCCAAAGUGAGGGAUAACGCACCGAAAGGUGUGCUAAUACCGCAUAUGGUCUUCGGAUUAAAGGAUUUAUCCGCUUUGGGAGUGGCCCGCGUACGAUUAGAUUGUUGGUGAGGUAACGGCUCACCAAGUCGACGAUCGUUAACUGGUCUGAGAGGAUGAUCAGUCAGACUGGAACUGAGACACGGUCCAGACUCCUACGGGAGGCAGCAGUAAGGAAUCUUCCACAAUGGGCGAAAGCCUGAUGGAGCAACGCCGCGUGCAGGAUGAAGGCCCUCGGGUCGUAAACUGCUUUUAUGAGUGAAGAAUACGACGGUAACUCAUGAAUAAGCACCGGCUAACUACGUGCCAGCAGCCGCGGUAAU
rnacentral:rRNA from 1 species